rnacentral:rRNA from 1 species
UACAGAGGGGGCCAGCGUUAUUCGGAAUUAUUGGGCGUAAAGGGCGCGUAGGCGGCCAUGCGUGUCUUUCGUGAAAUCCCUCGGCUUAACUGAGGACGUGCGGAAGAAACUGCAAGGCUUGAGUCCGGGAGAGGGGGGUGGAAUUCCCAGUGUAGCGGUGAAAUGCGUAGAUAUUGGGAGGAACACCGGUGGCGAAGGCGGCUUCCUGGACCGACACUGACGCUGAGGCGCGAAAGCUAGGGGAGCAAACGGG